rnacentral:rRNA from 1 species
GACGAACGCUGGCGGCGUGCCUAAUACAUGCAAGUCGAGCGAAGCGGCGGAUGGGUGAGUAACGCGUGGGUAACCUGCCCUUUAGUCUGGACUACCAUAUGGAAACAGAUGCACCUACUGGAUACUGAUGGAUGGACCUUCCAUGCAUUAGCUCGUUGGUAAGGUAACGGCUUACCAAGGCGAGGAUGCAUAGCCGAGUUGAGAGACGGAUCGGCCACAUUGGGACUGAGACACGGCCCAGACUCCUACGGGAGGCAGCAGUAGGGAAUAUUCCACAAUGGACGAAAGUCUGAUGGAGCAACGCCGCGUGAGUGAAGAAGGUUUUCGGAUCGUAAAGCUCUGUUGUUGGUGAAGCGGUAAUCAACCAGAAAGUCACGGCUAACUACGUGCCAGCAGCCGCGGUAAUUC